AACGAACGCUGGCGGCAUGCCUAACACAUGCAAGUCGAACGAUGCCUUCGGGCAUAGUGGCGCACGGGUGCGUAACGCGUGGGAAUCUGCCUUUCGGUUCGGAAUAACUCAGGGAAGCUUGAGCUAAUACCGGAUAACGUCGCAAGACCAAAGAUUUAUCACCGAAAGAUGAGCCCGCGUAGGAUUAGCUAGUUGGUGAGGUAAAGGCUCACCAAGGCGACGAUCCUUAGCUGGUCUGAGAGGAUGAUCAGCCACACUGGGACUGAGACACGGCCCAGACUCCUACGGGAGGCAGCAGUGGGGAAUAUUGGACAAUGGGCGAAAGCCUGAUCCAGCAAUGCCGCGUGAGUGAUGAAGGCCUUAGGGUUGUAAAGCUCUUUUACCCGGGAAGAUAAUGACGGUACCGGGAGAAUAAGCCCCGGCUAACUCCGUG
rnacentral:rRNA from 1 species